AGCAUAAAUUAAUAACAUUGCCACAUUCAAAAUAAUACUCAUGCAAUUGUUUAGGAUCUAUGAUGAUUCCAGAAAAAAAAUAACAUUCCUGUGUGUCUUUUGUAGCCUAUAAUGACUCUUGCUUCCUAAGUCUUUCUUUCUUGUUUCCACUUCUGAACCAAAACCAUUUCUGAACUUAUGAAAAGAUUACCCAUCUCUCCAUGGAAAUCAUCUUUAUUCCCAGUACAACUCUACCAGGUGUUUUAGCAAUGUGGUACAUUUAGUGAUGGGUUUGCUGAGUUUUUUGGUAAACACUGUGAGGACUUGUUCUUUAUGUCUUGCUUUUUCAAGUAUGUGUAGUGUUCCCAGGAGUAAAACCCUAUCUCCACUGGCUUUCACAUUCAUCUGCUUUUCCCCAGCUUGCCAAAACAGUUCAGUCUGGACCAAAGAAUUUCUUUCUUACUUCCAUGGACUGUUUUCACUUAAAGGACAGCUGUGACUGUUUUGAUCAAACAUAGACAGUAUAAAAAUCUGGGAAACAACCCACCAGUAUACCUCACAAUUGAACCAUGAUGUCUUUUUCAAGCAUGUACUUUUCUUACUUUCAAUAAUAUUUUACUUGUCCUGAAGGGACAGGCUGACUCAUCCCCUCCACUAGCUGUCCCCAGAAGGAGAACCAUCUGAGAAGUCCAGUACAACAAGGAUUAUACCUAGCUCUCAGCAGCUAAAGUUAGUGAGAUUGUAGCUCCUCAAAGUACUGGAUAGGAUAAAUGUGUUAGGGCAGUACGACAAAGUCAGAAUCAGGGAACAAAAUUAGAGGUCAAACUUGACUGUACUGAUUGCAUCCACCAGAAUCACACCUGGAGGCUGAAGAUAAAUGCACCUGGAUCUUCAGUGAGAGAGCUCAGAGUCUUUUUGGGCCUGGAACUGUAGCUAAGAAGUUGAGCCAAACUUGGCAAAUGCCACAUCACACAAAUCAAAUUUAUUGAAUCAGUACAGAGCUGUUACGGGAAAAAGAAUAGGGAAGUCCUUGACUGCAUGCCAUCAGCUGGGAAAAACAGAUCUAAUCCAGAGAUGUUUAAUGAUAUGUAUCUGGUUUUGUCACAGCCAUGUAUCUUUGACUGCUUUGCAUUUGAGUUGCUUUCAUCACUAGUAGGCAUUCAUCUGGUAUUUCUGUCUUUCUUCUACACAAACAAUAAACUCAACAUUUGAAUGGCUGUUAAACUUCCCUGAAAUUUUGGUUUAAAAAAAGCAAUUGGAAUUCCACAAAACUGAAUUAGAACUCCAGUGAGACAAAAAGUGGGAAUUCCUUUAUGUACAAAGUUGCUAAAAGUAUACUUUCUAGUUCUGCUACUACCUUUAGCUUGGUAUUAGGGGAAUGGUUGGACCAAAUGAUCUUGGAGGUCUUUUCCAGCCUUAAUGAUUCCAUGAUAUAUUCUGUAGUAGUGUUACUUUAAUUAAUGUAAUCAGGUGUAUGUUUAACGAUAAAAUUUAGAUAGAGGAAGACAUUCAGUGCAAAGUGAUCGUGGCCACAAUGGUUUGGUUUGCAUCCUAAUAAAUGUCCUGAAGAACCUGAACCUGAAACAGUACCAGCUCAUGAGGAGAAGGGACUGCUGGUCCUCCCAAAGCAGAAUUGUGCUAGAACUAGAAUGUGGCCAUCGUGAGCAUGGUCCAGGUGUUCCUAUACUCCAUGCCCAAUAGCAACCAGUUUGUAGCUUUUCAGACAAAAAGGUACCUUAUACAGCUAUUUUGGAACUGCACGUCAACACAUAAGGAAUGUUUGCAAGACACCCUUCUCCCUGUAAUAAUUACCACUGCAUUGCUAAGCAGUAUCAAUCAUUUCUAAAAUAUAAACAUAGCUGUGCACAGAUCUAUGGAUGUUAGGACAGCAUCAACACUCCUCUGUAGAAGCCUAAAAGACAAAUGACACUUUUUGUGCCCAAAACUGUGCAGGGCUCCAGUUAGUGAGAAAGAAAGAAAAGGGGAAGAGGAAAAAAAAAACAACAAAACCAAACAAACAAAAACACAAGAGAACUGAUAGGAAGGUCUGAAAAGCUUUUAUAGUUUUACUACACUUGAGAGGAUCUCUGUCAGGGCCCUGAGGGCACCAGUAAAUAGGUCUUAAUGUCCCUGACCAGCCUCACCUGGGGUCUGCACCCACACAGGCUCUAUUUAAGCUCAGGCCUGAAAGUAUUUCCUUGACAGAACUCUGUUGGAGAAAUGCUGGACUACUGUUACCCUUGAUCUGAACCUUAACAACACACAGGUUGAUUCCUUGGUUUGACCUGAGACCUGCCUGCUGAUCACUGAUCCUAAUCCUGGCCUAGUGGUGUCCAUGGUUGGGCUCCCAGCAGCUAUUUCUCCAGAGGAGAGCACUCUGAUACUUACAGCAGAUGUACUUGAAACAUUUUUGGAAGGAAGUGCCAAUGACUGUCAGAAACAUCGUCAGGAAGACAGAAAUCUCCAUCCAAGUGCUGGGAAUGCUUGGUUAUUCGUGGUAAACACAUUAAUAAAGGGAGUGUUAAAGGAGGUGACCUCAGUGCUGUGCUGAAAUGAGCAAAAGGGUGAGGUGAAACCACUGUAUUUGAUGAGAUUUAUGCUUUGUUGUGGGAUUUUGUUUGGGACCUUACAGAGCUACAGAUGAAACCUUUCUUUCUACCUCCUGACUUUCCUUCCUCACUUUCUCCACUGGGUUGAAUCAUGUCUCUUGCUAGUCACUUAUUCAUGAUGAGCAUUUCAUUCAGCUUCUGUUAUGGGGGUUUAGUGAGGCCUGUCCCCAAACUUUCAGCUCUUUCCAACAUCUUUGUUCUUUGUGAACAAGUGGAUUAAAUGCAUUUUGUCCCACUGUUCCUUUACACAGUAUGAAGCAACACUUAUAGCUUCAACAGAGAGCUAUGUCCCACCAGACCAUUCUAAAACUUUUAUCUACAGCCUAAUCAUCUUCACAGAGCACCCAGGAACUGGAAAAUGCUUGAGGUACAAAUGAAAACCUGGGUUCCGUGAGGUAACUCGUUUGUCAAAAUGCAAUGUAUUAUAUUUGCCCUCAGAUGAAUUCGUAUGUAUUCCGUAGACCGUCACAUUGCCAGGGAGGUUCUGGCAGUGCUGGUAGUAAAAAUCCUCUGUAUGGGUACAGACGUGGGAAAGAUCUGCCAGUGAUAAUCUGAUGUAGUUGAUUCAAUCAGAGCUCUACUGAAUUACUAUUCAGAUCUUACCAUCUCCCAAGAAUACUUUCCUCCAGUUUUAGUAGUGACAUUCUGUGGGAUGCAUGCAGCCCACCUGUUCAAAAAACAAAAAACAUCUGAAUUUCAGCCUUUGCAUUGUUCAGCACUCUAAUUUUGUGAAGCUGAGAGUCUUUCAGAGCAAAUAAAUCAAUGCUCUAGUAAAAGUGAAUUAUUACCAGUCAGACUAGUUAAUUAAAUGGUGUUCGUCAGGUGGAUAUGUCUGUUUAGGUGUCUCUGUGCUUAUAUAGAAAUUUCCAGACUUUCCUCAUAUGAUAAUAAGGAACUGGUGGCCUGAAGAGGAAAAAGCAUUUCUUGAAAUGUGUUCUUUUAUUUAAAAAAAAACCCUGCAAAUAUUAUAUGCUAAUCACUCAUAAUAUAGAUGUAAUUCAUUUUGAAUGCAUCUCUUGUGAAAUGCACUAGACAAGUCUAUUUUCAAUUAUUUAGUGAAUGAAAAGUUUAAUUAUCAAUAUGAAUUGUUUAUAACCAUGAUUCGUGACCUGAAAAAGGGUAUUUCAUGGUUAUUUAUGAAAGUCAUCAUCUUCAAUACUGUUUGCUGGUGCAUUGUAGAUCAGACUGGCAGCCUACUGAAUAUAGGCUGCAAUUUAACAAAACUUCAUAAUAUGUAUAUUGGCAGUAUAUCACAG